AUACGUAGGGGGCAAGCGUUGUCCGGAAUUAUUGGGCGUAAAGCGCGCGCAGGCGGUUCUUUAAGUCUUGUGUUUAAGGCCGGGGCUCAACCCUGGUUCGCAUGGGAAACUGGAGGACUGGAGUGCAGGAGAGGAAAGCGGAAUUCCACGUGUAGCGGUGAAAUGCGUAGAGAUGUGGAGGAACACCAGUGGCGAAGGCGGCUUUCUGGCCUGUAACUGACGCUGAGGCGCGAAAGCGUGGGGAGCAAACAGGAUUAGAUACCCUGGUAGUCCACGCCGUAAACGAUGAGUGCUAGGUGUCGGAGGAGUCAUCCUUCGGUGCCGAAGUCAACACAGUAAGCACUCCGCCUGGGGAGUACGCUCGCAAGAGUGAA
rnacentral:rRNA from 1 species